UGUCUUUGGGUGAGGAUAAGCCAGUA
rnacentral:piRNA from 1 species